rnacentral:rRNA from 1 species
CCUACGGGAGGCARCAGUGGGGAAUAUUGGACAAUGGGCGAAAGCCUGAUCCAGCCAUGCCGCGUGUGUGAAGAAGGUCUUCGGAUUGUAAAGCMCUUUAAGUUGGGAGGAAGGGCACUAAGCUAAUACCUUGCUGUUUGGACGUUACCGACAGAAUAAGCACCGGUUAACUCUGUGCCAGCAGCCGCGGUAAUA